AACAAAACGAUAAUGAAUUAUUCAAUGAUAAUGUUCAAAAUGAUGAUAUUUAUUCAGAAUCUGAUACGGAAUAUUCAUUGGAUUUACAAACAAGGCUACAAAAAUUAAGAAAGACUAAAAAUAGUAUUAAAAAUAUUAGUCACAGUGAAAGUAUUAAGUGUAAAUAUUGUGAUCGUAUUUUUAAAAACGAUAGUUACUGGUUUAAACGACAUCUUGAAAAGCAUGAACACGAACAACAACAAUCCAAUCAAAGGCAAUUUAAAUGUUCUUGUUGUAAAGAAGUCUUUGUGAAUAAAAUAGAACGAAAUGAACAUCAGCAAAAAGAACAUUUGGACAUAUUACAUUGUAGUACAUGCGAUAAAACAUUCAAUCAUAUUCGUAGCAUAGAAAGUCAUAAAAAAUAUUCUCAUAAAGGUGAAAAACGUAAAACAUACACGUACAUAUGUGAGAA